AAGAAGUAGAAGAAGUAGAAAAGGAAAGAAGAAGAAGAGAUGGAGGUGUGUUGAUGCUGAUACAGACUUAAGAAACAGCAAUGAAAAGAAAGCCAGACGUUGAGGAUUCCGAGAGUGACAAUGAAGAAGAAGAAGAAGUUGAAGAGAAGAAGAAGUAGAAGUAGAAAAAGGAAGAAGAAGAAGAGAUGGAGGUAUGUUGACGCUGAUACAGACUUAAGAAACAGCAAUGAAAUGAAAGCCAGGCGUUGAUGAUUCCGAGAGUGACAAUGAAGAAGAAGUAGAAGUAGAAGAGAAGAAGUAGAAGAAGUAGAAAAGGAAAGAAGAAGAAGAGAUGGAGGUAUGUUGAUGCUGAUACAGACUUAAGAAACAGCAAUGAAAUGAAAGCCAGGCAUUCAUGAUCCCAAGAGUGACAAUGAAGAAGAAGUAGAAGUAGAAGAGACAGAAGAAGAGGUAGAAAAAGAAAAAAGAAGAGAUGGAGGUGUGUUGAUGCUGAUACAGACUUAAGAAACAGCAAUGAAAAGAAAGCCAGACGUUGAGGAUUCCGAGAGUGACAAUGAAGAAGAAGUAGAAGUAGAAGAGAAGAAAUAGAAGAAGAGGUAGAAGAAGUAGAAAAGGAAAGAAGAAGAAGAGAUGGAGGUGUGUUGAUGCUGUUAGACUUAAGAAACAGCAAUGAAAUGAAAGCCAGAAGUUCAUGAUCCCGAGAGUGACAAUGAAGAAGAAGUAGAAGUAGAAGAGAAGAAGUAGAAGAAGUAGAAAAGGAAAGAAGAAGAAGAGAUGGAGGUAUGUUGAUGCUGAUAGACUUAAGAAACAGCAAUGAAAUGAAAGCCAGGCAUUCAUGAUCCCAAGGGUGACAAUGAAGAAGAAGUAGAAGUAGAAGAGAAGAAGUAGAAGAAGUAGAAAAGGAAAGAAGAAGAAGAGAUGGAGGUAUGUUGAUGCUGAUAGACUUAAGAAACAGCAAUGAAAUGAAAGCCAGAAGUUCAUGAUCCCAAGAGAGACAAUGAGAGAUGCUUGCAAGGUGAGAUGAGUGAAAAGAGGGGGUCAGUCUGGUUCUAAUGAGUGGUUCUUCAGGUUCAUGGUACAGAGGAAAGGUCAAACUAGCAAUAGGGUCAUAAAACUACUCCCGGAAAUGCCUACAACUCCUAUGAAAGCCUUGUCAAAUAUGUGUUCUUGGGCGGCGAAGUGUUUUGUAAUAUGACCCAAAAUCUCACAUUCCCACACUUUCAGCUCACAACAACACUUCCAAAUGCCACAAAGGAGAUAAGACCCAUAUAAUUAAACCCUUCGGAACCUUAGUGCUAUUUGAAAAGGCUCUCGUGGAAGCUGUCAGGAUUUCCAAGGGUGGUUUCAUGACCCUGGUGGUAGUUUUGCAAGGCUUCCGCGCUGUGAACGGGGAAAAUCACUCUUGGCAAACUGACCUAUAUCCUCUCUGGCCUUAACCCGGUAGCUGUGGGGAUCAUGUUUCUUAAUGGUCCCUCUAACCGAGAAAAAUGAGAAGAAAAUCAUCACUCAUGCAAACCAUUUCAGAAUAUAUAUCAACGCAUUUGUGAUCAGUUUAUGCAUCAUCUAUUUUGGGGGGUUUAUAUCAUGGCAAAAUUUUAUGUCCCGCUGCUACACGGUAAAGCCACAAAUUUGGCCCGUCGCUGCUACCGGGUUAAAGAAUAGUCAUAAGAAUCUAAAGCGUUUGAUAUUAGCUAAGUCUGGUUCUCAUAAGAGUUCUUUCACAUUCACAUUGCAGAAGCCUUGUCAAACUAUCACCAGGCUCAUAACACUACCCCCAUGGAAACACUACUAACACAACCUCUAUAAGUCUCUCACAACAAAUACUUUAAAGGCUUCAUAUUAAGUCACGUUCUGAAGAGUUAUGUUACAUUCACACUGCAGAAGCCUUGUCAAACUAUCACCAGGCUCAUAACACCACCCAUGGAAACACUACUAACACAAUCUCACUAAAAGUCUCUCAUACCAAAUACUUUAAAGGCUACAUAUUAAGUCACGUUCUCAAGAGAGUUACGUUACAUCCACAUUGCAAAAGCCUUGUCAAACUAUCACCAGGUUCAUAAAACUACCCCCAUGGAAACACUACUAACACAACCUCCAUGGAAGCCUCGUCGAAUGUGGGUGUGUGACUCUCGAAAUGGUUGUGAAUAUGGACCCAAGACUUUGCAGGGAAGGUUUUACAUGGGUGGUUAUGGCGAGGGAAGGACUUAUA